rnacentral:rRNA from 1 species
AUCGAUGAAGAACGCAGCGAAAUGCGAUAAGUAAUGUGAAUUGCAGAAUUCAGUGAAUCAUCGAAUCUUUGAACGCACCUUGCGCUCCUUGGUAUUCCGAGGAGCAUGCCUGUUUGAGUGUCAUUAAUAUAUCAACCUUCUCUUUUUUGAGUUGUUUGGAUGUGGGGGUUUGCUGGCCUCUUAAAUGAUUCAGCUCCCCUGAAAUGCAUUAGCAGAACAACCUGUUCAUUGGCGUGAUAAUUAUCUAUGCUAUUGAAUGUGAGGGGCAGUUCAGCUUUCUAACCGUCCUCGGACAAUUCAUCAUUAAUGUGACCUCAAAUCAGGUAGGACUACCCGCUGAACUUAAGCAUAUCAAUAAGCGGAGGAAAAGAAACUAACAAGGAUUCCCCUAGUAACUGCGAGUGAAGCGGGAAAAGCUCAAAUUUAAAAUCUGGCGGUCUUUUGGCUGUCCGAGUUGUAAUCUAGAGAAGUGUUAUCCGCGCUGGACCGUGUACAAGUCUCCUGGAAUGGAGCAUCAUAGAGGGUGAGAAUCCCGUCUUUGACAUGGACUGCCAGGGCUUUGUGAUGCGCUCUCAAAGAGUCGAGUUGUUUGGGAAUGCAGCUCAAAAUGGGUGGUAAAUUCCAUCUAAAGCUAAAUAUUGGCGAGAGACCGAUAGCGAACAAGUACCGUGAGGGAAAGAUGAAAAGAACUUUGGAAAGAGAGUUAAACAGUACGUGAAAUUGCUGUAGGGGAAACGCUUGAGGUCAGUCGCGUCAUCCAGGGAUCAACCUUGCUUUUUUGCUUGGCUUACUUUCUGGUCGAUGGGUCAGCAUCAAUUUUGACUGGUGGAAAAAGUUCAAGGGAAUGUGGCAUCUUCGGAUGUGUUAUAGCCUUUGUUCGCAUACAUCGGUUGGGAUUGAGGAACUCAGCACGCCGCAAGGCCGGGUUUUUAACCACGUACGUGCUUAGGAUGCUGGCAUAAUGGCUUUAAUCGACCCGUCUGAAACACGG